UUUCCUUCCUCCUAGGAGCUAGAAGGAUGGGGGAAGAAAAAGAAAUAAUAGAUGAAAAAAGAAAUAAAAAGAAGGAAAGAAUAUAUGUGAGAGUAGAUUUUGAAAGGAAGGGUUAGGAAGGAAUCAAAAAAGCUGGAAGACCAGUACAAUUGUACUCUUAAUAUAAAUAGGAAAAGUUGGUGAAAAAAGCUACUUUUAUUCAAGGGGAAGAAUUAUGAUUUCGUUUGAAGUAAGCUGUAUUUGAGAGACUCUCAUCAUUAUCUAGUUGGUAUCUGAAAAUAUGCAAUUAUAGUCAGGGACAGAAUAGAUCAGAAUUAGAGAAAGAAAUUUAGAAGUAAUCUACAUAGAAAAGUACAGAACUGUAGAAUUUUGUGGAAAUAAGGAAUAUUAGACAUAUAAUAUAAUCUCUUCAUUUUAGAGAUGAAGCUAUUUAGACAAGAAAUGUAAAACCAAGGUCUAAAAUGAAAAGGAUGUAUACGAAAUCUGAGAAAGAGAAUCUAAAAAAACAACAAAUAAUGGUCCAAGGACUGAACCUGGGAAAUCACAUUCACCUUUAGUGUCUACAUUUCACCCAACUCUCAACCUGUGGCUCCAAGAAGCUGUAGAAUGAGCAAUGGCCACACCUCAGUAAAACUGUCUCAUUAGGCUAAACCAGGUUUGCAGCAACCAACAGGACUCAAACCCAUUGGUGAGUUAAAGGAAUGUCUACUCCAAGGAUGUGAAGACUUUUCCUUGCAGAAUGGGCAGAUGAGAACAAUUUGUUCCAAAGUUCAUGACGGAGGCUCAACCCCCUUUGAAGAGAACAAAUUCGAUUGCUGUUUCAGCUUGGGACAGUCUGCUAUAGAGAACCUUGCUGGGCACUAUCUUCCCUCCCUACUCCCUCUCAAAGAAAGAACACUCUGCUUUAUCAAAUGAAUAAAAGUCCAUUGAGAGAUGUGUCCCACUGUAAAGGUGCUGUAGCAUUUUACAACUUAUCUUUAAAUACUUUAAGGCAGAUUAG
rnacentral:lncRNA from 1 species